AGCUUUUACCAAUGAGCACAUUUAAAGCCGGCAGGUGUGGGUGCAGCCCUAUCAGCCUGCAUUCUCCUAUGGCUCCAUUAGGAAGUGGCUGUCUGGCUGUAGGAGGAAGGUGCUCCUGCUCUGUCACAUCCUUAUGGCAUGAGGAUUUCUUAUACCUGCUGUUCUGGCAGUGGGGAGCUGAACGGCUGAUGCCUGACUUCAUGGAGUCAUUACUCCUGUCUGCACUCUAUGGAGCUGCCCAUGAUUUUUUUUCUCCUCUCAGAUCUCACAUGCUGGAGGCUUUGCAGUGGCCCCUGUUGCAAAGAGCAAUGAAUUCUCUCCCCCUUGGAGAACAGAGGAAAGAUCGUGGGCUAUUUUGUCAGCUCUGGACCCAGCUUCAGGCUGCAGUAGCUUUGACCAUGGCUGGCCUCACUCUUGCUCUGUGCAGAUAUAUCAACUGUUUUUGUUUUUUAACCACAUGAGGGAAGAAACUGCUUAGUGAAUGAAGCCAGAUGCACAGGGUUAUGCUGAAGGACCUACAGCCCCUUUGUAAAGAGCUCCAACCAGAAGCUUUGGAAGAGGCACAUAAAACGUUUGUGGAAUUUAUUCCUGGCAAUUAAAGGACACUGGGUUGGAGCAGGGCUGAGGAGGUUCCCUGGCUUUUAUUGACAAGAAUGGGAAGAUCCAGCAACACAGGGCGCCAGAGUAGCAGCUGUGAGAAGAGCAUGCCUUCAGAUGCUGGUGAGAAAAGAUGCAAGGUAAUUCUUGCAGUAGGGCCAACUCACAAGCUUGCACAAACACCAGUUUCAGCCUGGACGAUCCCAUUGACCUGGGCAGUCUCUCCAUUCAUUAGUCAGCAUAGCCUGACUGCCCUGCGCUGCGCCCUCAGCAUGUGUUGGGACACGUUGUUCCGUGAAAUAAGUGAGUUAGAGCUUCCUGUGAGCUGCUGAAGCCCUGCUACACUGAAAAUAAAAUGCCUCGUUAAAACUGGAUGGGGUCAGAAGAUACAGAUGGGGUAUCUUCUGAGGGGCUCAAAUGCCCCUCGACUUCUUCCAUACCCAUUGUAGCAACACCAACCAGAUGUAUCCCCUACUGUAACCUGGGUGUCUUUAAAAAAAAAAAAAAGUUAAUAUCCAAAGUUAAUGAUUAACUCUUCCCUCAGAGUCUCAUUUUGACCUCUGUUGAACCAGUGGCACCAUCAGGGCAUGCUGUGGCUCUUGUUGGCCAAGGCAUGGUGCCACCAGCGUGGCCCGCGGCUGUGGACAGGACUGGUGGCAGCUGGGUCAGCACGGCUGAUGCCAUUCUCAUGACACACAGGGACCAGUGCAAUAAAUAGGAGAGCCAGAACUUUCCAGGUGAAAUGAAAUUAAAUCAUUUGUGCUUGCUUUAAUAUAGGGAUGUAUGAUAUUAUCUGUCUACAGCAUUAGUCUGUUCUGCUGCCUUUGAAGCUAAUAAUUGGUAUUAGGGUGGUGUGUUGGAGUUUCCUUGUUAGGCGAGAUUUUGGAAUGGAUCUCAGUUAUCCAGACAAAUGGGCAUUUUCAUGGUAUUACCCACUACCACAUGAUCUUACAGAUUCCUCAUCAGUGGCUGCGUUCAGGUUUGGGCAUCACUGGGGUUUGGGGUUUUUCUUCAGCUAAUUAAGAAUUGUGAGAAGGGCAAAAACUAUUUGGGGUGUUGGAGAAGAAAGGUUAAACUGGUAGAAUGAAGCAAGCUUGGCUGAGUAGUGCUUAAAGUGGUCACAGCCUGUGGUGCUGUAAGGUUCCAACAUCAGGAGGCCAACGUUCAUUGGUGCAGUGUGGGGAGAUGUAGGGAGAAGCAAAUGCAGUUGAAUUAUCUGGCUGUGCCCUUGGAAACAAGGUCUUAAAGACACACAUUGGUUUCUUGCAAACUACAUUGCUCAGAAUCUCAAGGAGAUCUGGUAGAGAGAAAUCCCACAGCAGCACAAGGGAGGCUGGGCAGCCCAGGUGCUGCUUCCAGGCUUUGGUUCGUUGGUUUUGGGUGUAGCUGUUGACUCUGUUGCAAUGGGCUUAUAUUAGGUAUGAGUUGGAUCUGGUUUGUGCAAUGGCUUGAGUUUUUUUGGAUUACGAGUGCUUAGAUGAUGGCCACAAGGAAUUUUAAUUAGGAAAGUAAGAAAGGUUUUUCUGGGAGACAGGCAAACCACGAAAAUUAUUGGCAGUGAGAAAGCCUGCGAAGAACAAGUAUCAGGGAAUGCACAUAGGUCUUAUUAAUAAUUACCUAAAUUGGGGUUUUAGGGAUAUCCACAAAAGAAUCUCUUCAAUGGCCAAGACCUAAAUGAAGUUAAUGUCCCCUCCUGUGUUUUAUCCGCUGUUCAGCUGUACUUACAGGCUCUCAGGAACAC